rnacentral:rRNA from 1 species
GAUGAACGCUGGCGGCGUGCCUAAUACAUGCAAGUCGAGCGAACAGACGAGGAGCUUGCUCCUCUGACGUUAGCGGCGGACGGGUGAGUAACACGUGGAUAACCUACCUAUAAGACUGGGAUAAAUUCGGGAAACCGGAGCUAAUACUGGAUAAUAUAUUGAACCGCAUGGUUCAAUAGUGAAAGACGGUUUUGCUGUCACUUAUAGAUGGAUCCGCGCCGCAUUAGCUAGUUGGUAAGGUAACGGCUUACCAAGGCAACGAUGCGUAGCCGACCUGAGAGGGUGAUCGGCCACACUGGAACUGAGACACGGUCCAGACUCCUACGGGAGGCAGCAGUAGGGAAUCUUCCGCAAUGGGCGAAAGCCUGACGGAGCAACGCCGCGUGAGUGAUGAAGGUCUUCGGAUCGUAAAACUCUGUUAUUAGGGAAGAACAAAUGUGUAAGUAACUAUGCACGUCUUGACGGUACCUAAUCAGAAAGCCACGGCUAACUACGUG